AAGUACCAAAUAUGACUGUUAAUAUACUCAAGAAUAAAGGAGGAUUGGCAUUUCUUACAUGCAUAUUUGAUUUCGAAUAAUAUAGUUCCACUUGUCCUUGGAGAUUAUUUGGUUGCAGGUGAAAUAACAAAAAAGGAUGGAGAAAACACACUCUAUGGAGCAAAGAAACACACUUCUAACCAAUGGGAGGUUUCCACAUUUGCAUCACAUGGAUUGAAGG
rnacentral:lncRNA from 1 species